rnacentral:lncRNA from 1 species
GGCACCCUUCAGGUCGACCUCCAUCGCCUUCGCUGCCCUCCUGCACCUCUCGGACCAACCUAGGUUAGUUCUGGAACCCUUCUUUUUUUUUGCUGUUCUUCCAUUUUCUCUCCUUUGCAUUCUGCCCAUUCGGAUUCUCUGUGAGCGCCUUGUUUCCUAUUUUUUUCAAUUUUUUUGAGAUUUUUUGGGGUUCUCAUUUGAUUCAAAAUGUCCUCCAACACUUCCUCC